AUUGAACGCUGGCGGCAUGCCUUACACAUGCAAGUCGAACGGUAACGCGGGGCAACCUGGCGACGAGUGGCGAACGGGUGAGUAAUAUAUCGGAACGUGCCCAGUAGUGGGGGAUAGCCCGGCGAAAGCCGGAUUAAUACCGCAUACGACCUAAGGGUGAAAGCGGGGGAGUCGCAAGACCUCGCGCUAUUGGAGCGGCCGAUAUCAGAUUAGGUAGUUGGUGGGGUAAAGGCCUACCAAGCCGACGAUCUGUAGCUGGUCUGAGAGGACGACCAGCCACACUGGGACUGAGACACGGCCCAGACUCCUACGGGAGGCAGCAGUGGGGAAUUUUGGACAAUGGGCGCAAGCCUGAUCCAGCCAUGCCGCGUGC
rnacentral:rRNA from 1 species